GGCCAGAUAGCUCAGUUGGUAGAGCAUGGUGCUGACGACGCCAAGGUCAAGGGUUUGGAUCCCUAUAUUGGCCA